GGUCGAUUGGUCUAGUUGGUCAUGACGUGGGUCUCAUAUUUUCAUUAUGAUCACUUCUUCAGGAGUGAGCGAUCCCGAGGUCACCAGUUCGAUCCUGGUAUCGACCA